rnacentral:misc_RNA from 1 species
GGACAAGAUAAAAGCACCUAAAAGAAUGUGUCUGGGCUGCCAGCAGGACAGCCAUACUAGUACAACAACAACAACAACAACUGCUACUGCUACUGCUACCGGAGUCACUGCCCGUAAUAGUCUUUCCACUGCUUCUGCUGCUUCCAUCAGGUUCAACGUUCAGUCACUUUCACAUCAACCAACAUCAUGGGCAACUGCGGCACU